rnacentral:rRNA from 1 species
UACGGAGGAUCCGAGCGUUAUCCGGAUUUAUUGGGUUUAAAGGGUGCGUAGGCGGCUUAUUAAGUCAGUGGUGAAAGCCUGGAGCUUAACUCCAGAACUGCCAUUGAUACUGAUGAGCUUGAGUAUAGUUGAGGUGGGCGGAAUGUGUCAUGUAGCGGUGAAAUGCUUAGAUAUGACACAGAACACCGAUUGCGAAGGCAGCUCGCUAAACUAUAACUGACGCUGAGGCACGAAAGCGUGGGUAGCAAACAGG